AUUGAACGCUGGCGGCAUGCCUUACACAUGCAAGUCGAACGGUAACAGCACUUCGGUGGCUGACGAGUGGCGAACGGGUGAGUAAUACAUCGGAACGUGCCCGAGAGUGGGGGAGUAACGCAGCGAAAGACUGUGCUAAUACCGCAUACGAUCUACGGAUGAAAGACAGGGGAGUUCGCAAGGACCUUGCGCUCAUGGAGGCGGCCGAUGGCAGAUUAGGUAGUUGGUGGGAUAAAAGACUUACCAAGCCGACGAUCUGUAGCUGGUCUGAGAGGACGACCAGCCACACUGGAACUGAGACACGGUCCAGACUCCUACGGGAGGCAGCAGUGGGGGAAUUUUGGACAAUGGGCGGCAAGCCUGAUCCAGCCAUUCCGCGUGCAGGAUG
rnacentral:rRNA from 1 species